GACGAACGCUGGCGGCGUGCUUAACACAUGCAAGUCGAACGGAAAGGCCCUGCUUUUGUGGGGUGCUCGAGUGGCGAACGGGUGAGUAACACGUGAGUAACCUGCCCUUGACUUUGGGAUAACUUCAGGAAACUGGGGCUAAUACCGGAUAGGAGCUCCUGCUGCAUGGUGGGGGUUGGAAAGUUUCGGCGGUUGGGGAUGGACUCGCGGCUUAUCAGCUUGUUGGUGGGGUAGUGGCAUACCAAGGCUUUGACGGGUAGCCGGCCUGAGAGGGUGACCGGCCACAUUGGGACUGAGAUACGGCCCAGACUCCUACGGGAGGCAGCAGGGGGGAAUAUUGCACAAUGGGCGGAAGCCUGAUGCAGCAACGCCGCGUGCGGGAUGACGGCCUUCGGGGUGUAAACCGCUUUCGCCUGUGACGAAGCGUGAGUGACGGUAAUGGGUAAAGAAGCACCGGCUAACUACGUG
rnacentral:rRNA from 1 species